UACGUAGGGCGCAAGCGUUGUCCGGAAUUAUUGGGCGUAAAGAGCUCGUAGGCGGUCUGUCGCGUCGGUCGUGAAAACUUGGGGCUUAACCCUGAGCUUGCGGUCGAUACGGGCAUGACUGGAGUUCGGCAGGGGAGACUGGAAUUCCUGGUGUAGCGGUGAAAUGCGCAGAUAUCAGGAGGAACACCGGUGGCGAAGGCGGGUCUCUGGGCCGUAACUGACGCUGAGGAGCGAAAGCAUGGGGAGCGAACAGG
rnacentral:rRNA from 1 species